GGACCUGACUGCUAUCGGAUUGAUACUAAGCCAUGCGAGUCAUUGUAGCAAUACAAGGCAUACGGCUCAGUAACGCGUAGUCAACCUAACCUAUGGACGGGAAUAACCUCGGGAAACUGAGAAUAAUGCCCGAUAGAACAUUAUGCCUGGAAUGGUUUAUGUUCCAAAUGAUUUAUCGCCGUAGGAUGGGACUGCGGCCUAUCAGUUUGUUGGUGAGGUAAUGGCCCACCAAGACUAUUACAGGUACGGGCUCUGAGAGGAGUAGCCCGGAGAUGGGUACUGAGACACGGACCCAGGCCCUAUGGGGCGCAGCAGGCGAGAAAACUUUGCAAUGUGCGAAAGCACGACAAGGUUAAUCCGAGUGAUUUCUGCUAAAGGAAUCUUUUGCCAGUUCUAAAAAUACUAGUGAAUAAGGGGUGGGCGAAGUUCUGGUGUCAGCG
rnacentral:rRNA from 1 species